rnacentral:rRNA from 1 species
UACAGGGGGGGCAAGCGUUGUUCGGAAUUACUGGGCGUAAAGGGCUCGUAGGCGGCCAACUAAGUCCGACGUGAAAUCCCAAAGCUUAACUUUGGAACUGCGUCGGAUACUGGAUGGCUUGAAUUCGGGAGAGGGAUGCAGAAUUCCAGGUGUAGCGGUGAAAUGCGUAGAUAUCUGGAGGAAUACCGGUGGCGAAGGCGGCAUCCUGGACCGAUAUUGACACUGAGGAGCGAAAGCCAGGGGAGCAAACGGG